CAUACCCAAUCUAUUGCCAAAUUAGAAAUCCAGCUAGGGCAGCUAGCGAGUGCACUAAAUAAGAGAGAGGAAGGCAAGCUUCCAAGCCAACCAGUGAGUAACCCGAGAGGGCAGUACAUGGCUCAAGAGACUCACCCGAAUGAUGUUCACCAUGAACAAGCUAAUGCCAUGACUACCUUAAGAAGCGGACGCGUAGUGGACAAUAAGGUUGGAGA
rnacentral:lncRNA from 1 species